UGGCAGUUGUGGUGUAAGGAUGCUGAAAGAGAUUGCCAUGCUUGAAAAUAUACCUGCUUUAGUCAUUGAAAGGUGGAAGAAAGCAUGUGAAGCUGAUUGAAUGUGAUCGCUGAACUGCAUCAAGAGAAAUGCCAUCAGUCUCUUCAAGAAGCCCUGAUGGAAGUAAAAAUGCUUUAAUUCAAGCCCAGCUGUAUCUGGUUGACAUCUGAAGACUGCUUUGCUUGCAAGGUUCUCCACAUUUUUGCUGUGCUGCUUGUUUCAGUCUGACGGGGCUUGUGGAAAACGGUUUUAAAGACCCCCCUUUUUUCCCUCCGAGGUGUUGUAAUUUUAUUAAACUUUACCAUAUAUAUGUGUGUGUGUAUGUAUAUACAUGUAUA
rnacentral:lncRNA from 1 species